rnacentral:lncRNA from 1 species
GCCCCGACGCCCCCUGGCACGGGGUGCGCGCGCCGCCCGGUGGCGACCGGAUCAGGGGCGAGGGCGGCUCGAGAAAGGCGCCGCUUCCCCCUGGCGGCUUCCGACCUUUCGUUUCCUCGCUGAGCUCGCGGCGGUUUGGUUCUAAAAGAAACGCAAAGCUGGCUCGGGCCCCUCAGUCCGGGUAUGUGGAUUUGAGAAAUCGAAACGGCGCGCGUUUAAGACACCAUGCGUCCCCGGAGUCCUCCUCUGGCCCCUCUGUUUCGACCCCAGGGAGGCGCGCGGAAGAAAGGCGCCCGGAGCCGCCGUCACCUCUGUCACAUCCGCCCUGCUGGGGACCCGUCGGCGACUCGCUCCUGGCCCCGGCUCAGUGUGCUCUUUAGCCCGGAGGAGCGGGCGGUGGGGACCCCCGGGACUCCUAUCGCACCGAGGCGGGUGCCCAGCCCCAAGCCGCCCGGUCUCGUCGCCAUGCAGAGUUCAGGUUUUGUACCAACGGAAACUAGAAUUUGACCCUGCUCGAUCCCUUGCCAGCUGCUGCAGAGCCACUGACGGCCGGGGCUGGGUGUGGUGCACACGAUACCCACGGUUUAGGCUUGCUGGGGUUCUGCAGCGCCGGGCCACGCGCCCCCUCGUGGCUAGAGCGAGAACAGCGCACGGCGGGAGCGCAAGGGGCCUGAGGGGUCACCUGCCAGCUGGGCGCCCGCGCUGUGUCCUGGCGGCCGUGUUCCCAGUCGCUCCGUAGCCUCUCCGCGUUCCGACGCUUAGUGAUGGUGGGAGUGUGUCCACCGCCUCACCACGCACACUCCUGGAGUUGGGAUGUGGCCCUGCACUGCGACCCUCACCAUCUGGCCCAUGGAUUGUGCGCUGCGGCGUGUGUCGAGGAGGAGCGAGCAGAGGCGGCCCAGAGCCCGUGAGCUGGGGCUCUGCAGUGUGUCCAAGGGCCAGCAGUCCAGACUUCCAGGCCUCCACACCUUCUCAGAAGUCGCCCCCCCCCCCAGUCACUGCCCAGGGUGCCGGUGCCCUCUUUCCUCCUGCAGUGGUUUGGGGGGUCACAGGAGAUGUAUUCUUACACAGGGAGGGGCCAGGACCUCAGAGAGACCUGGGUGUGGCCCAAAGGUGCUACUGCCUCGCUGCACUGUGGCCCCAGUGCGCUGUGACCCCAAGUCCCUCCCAGCGUGAGGAUAGCAAACCCAGCUCUCAGCACAUCUCACUCAAGGCCAGCUAUGUUCCCAACCAACUCUGAGGGCGGGAGCUGGCUGUCCCCGGAAGGAAGCCCCGGCAGUCUUUCCCUGUCUGGGCUGGGCUUCAGGAGGGAGUUUCCUGAAAGGUGAGCCUGCCUGCCUCCAGCUUCGCCGUGCAGGAGGAACCCUAAGUAUGACCUGGCUGGCCACCUGCCCAGCGCCAGGUGAACCUGCAGCUCUGGGGCUCACCCUCUGGGACUGGUGACUUUUGGAGGGGACAGAUAGUGAGCAUGGGCGGAGGAGAGGUGUGGACAUUCCGGGCCGGGUGGCAUGGAUGCAAUCAGGGCAGGCUGUGUCCUCCUGGCUGCUCCUCCUGGGGCUUUGCUUUUCUCAGAGAAGGAGCAUGGAGAUGGGAGGCUCUUCAGGGGCACAGCCUGGGAGGAGUGGGGUGGAGGACAGGCGGGCAAAGGAAGGAAAAGCGGAGCAGAGAGGAGACAGCCGGGGGCAGGGAAGAAGAGCAGGAAGCUGAGGAGUCACGUCCAGAGGAAAGGGGUGACCGGAAGGCCAAGGGAGACUUAUCUGAAGUAGCUGCAGAGUAGGCAGGGACGGGAGAGUCAGCCAG